rnacentral:rRNA from 1 species
UACGGAGGGGGCUAGCGUUGUUCGGAAUUACUGGGCGUAAAGGGCGCGUAGGCGGCCCGCUAAGUCGAACGUGAAAUCCCUGGGCUCAACCCAGGAACUGCGUCCGAUACUGGCAGGCUUGAAUCCGGGAGAGGGAUGUGGAAUUCCAGGUGUAGCGGUGAAAUGCGUAGAUAUCUGGAGGAACACCGAUGGCGAAGGCG